rnacentral:lncRNA from 1 species
CUAACAAUGCUCUAAUUAGACCAUAAUAAUACUAAACAAGCUUAAUCAAAUUCAAAAAAACCUCAAAGAAAUUUCAAACAAAUAAUAAUAAUUCUUAAAAGAAUAUUAGAAGGAUUACAAAUAUCACUCAAAUAUAUCUCAAUUCAAUCUUAAUUUAAUUCUAGUUAAAAUCCUAUUGAACUUCAUUCAAAUUUUAGGUAAAACCUAAUUAAAUAUUAAAUCCUAAUAAAAUCCUAAAUCCUAAAUCAAACCCUAAACAAAUCUUAAACCAAAUCCCAACCAAAUCCUAAACCAAAUCCUAACCAAAUCCUAAUUCAAAUCCUAAAUCCUAAAACAAAUCCUAAUUCAAAUCCUAAAUCCUAAACCAAACCCUAACUAAAUCCUAAACCUUAACCAAAUCCUAACCAAACCCUAAACCCUAAAUCAAAUCCUAUUCAAAUCCUAAACCAAAUCCUAUCCAAACUCUAAAUCCUAAACCAAAUCCUAAACAAACCCUUAAUCCUAAAUCAAAUCUUAAUCCAAACCCUAAAUCCUAAAUCAAUUCCUAACCAAAUCCUAAAUCCUAAACCAAAUCCUAGUAAUUCCUACAACAAAUUUAAAUCUCCAUAACUAAUGAAUUAACUAUUGAUCUUAGCUCAAAUAUUAUAUACUUCUAAAAAAAAAUAAAGUUGAAAACAAGCACAAAAAAAUUGAAAAGGAUCGAAAUUACCAAAUUGAUGAUAACCUCAAAAAUAUGCUCGGGUAUUGGCCGGCCUCCUUCUCCAAUCUUAAUGCCAAUCUUCCAAAGCCGAUAUCACUUUUUUGCACUAUUUAAUUGAUCUCAAAAUUCUCAUGCACAUAGGAAAAUAAGUCUAAUAUCCUCUCACGUAAGUUUUACUCCAAUCCAACUAGUAGAUUGUAAGAAAUC